AACGAACGCUGGCGGCAUGCCUAACACAUGCAAGUCGAACGAGACCUUCGGGUCUAGUUGCGCACGGGUGAGUAACGCGGUGGAACCUGCCCUUAGGUUCGGAAGAACUCCCCGAAAGGGGUGCUAAAACCGGAUAAUGUCUUCGGACCAAAGAUUUAUCGCCUUUGGAUGGGCCCGCGUUGGAUUAGCUAGUUGGUAGGGUAAAAGCCUACCAAGGCGAUGAUCCAUAGCUGGUCUGAGAGGAUGAUCAGCCACACUGGGGCUGAGACACGGCCCAGACUCCUACGGGAGGGAGGAGUGGGGAAUAUUGGACCAGGGGCGAAAGGCUGAUACAGCCAUGACGGGUGAGUGAUGAAGGCCUUAGAGUUGUAAAGCUAUUUUACCCGGGAUGAUAAUGACGGUACCGGGAGAAUAAGCGCCGGCUAACUCCGUG
rnacentral:rRNA from 1 species